UGGCAACUGUGAUGAAAUACUUGGUCUGUAUGUAAUGCAUUACUAAAUGAAGACAACAGUCCCUCUAAACUGACGUUGCCA
rnacentral:snoRNA from 10 species